UAAGUUGCAGGGUAUAGACCCGAAACCCGGUGAUCUAGCCAUGGGCAGGUUGAAGGUUGGGUAACACUAACUGGAGGACCGAACCGACUAAUGUUGAAAAAUUAGCGGAUGACUUGUGGCUGGGGGUGAAAGGCCAAUCAAACCGGGAGAUAGCUGGUUCUCCCCGAAAGCUAUUUAGGUAGCGCCUCGUGAAUUCAUCUCCGGGGGUAGAGCACUGUUUCGGCAAGGGGGUCAUCCCGACUUACCAACCCGAUGCAAACUGCGAAUACCGGAGAAUGUUAUCACGGGAGACACACGGCGGGUGCUAACGUCCGUCGUGAAGAGGGAAACAACCCAGACCGCCAGCUAAGGUCCCAAAGUCAUGGUUAAGUGGGAAACGAUGUGGGAAGGCCCAGACAGCCAGGAUGUUGGCUUAGAAGCAGCCAUCAUUUAAAGAAAGCGUAAUAGCUCACUGGUCGAGUCGGCCUGCGCGGAAGAUGUAACGGGGCUAAACCAUGCACCGAAGCUGCGGCAGCGACACUAUGUGUUGUUGGGUAGGGGAGCGUUCUGUAAGCCUGUGAAGGUGGCCUGUGAGGGUUGCUGGAGGUAUCAGAAGUGCGAAUGCUGACAUAAGUAACGAUAAAGCGGGUGAAAAGCCCGCUCGCCGGAAGACCAAGGGUUCCUGUCCAACGUUAAUCGGGGCAGGGUGAGUCGACCCCUAAGGCGAGGCCGAAAGGCGUAGUCGAUGGGAAACAGGUUAAUAUUCCUGUACUUGGUGUUACUGCGAAGGGGGGACGGAGAAGGCUAUGUUGGCCGGGCGACGGUUGUCCCGGUUUAAGCGUGUAGGCUGGUUUUCCAGGCAAAUCCGGAAAACCAAGGCUGAGGCGUGAUGACGAGGCACUACGGUGCUGAAGCGACAAAUGCCCUGCUUCCAGGAAAAGCCUCUAAGCAUCAGGUAACAUCAAAUCGUACCCCAAACCGACACAGGUGGUCAGGUAGAGAAUACCAAGGCGCUUGAGAGAACUCGGGUGAAGGAACUAGGCAAAAUGGUGCCGUAACUUCGGGAGAAGGCACGCUGAUAUGUAGGUGAAGCGACUUGCUCGUGGAGCUGAAAUCAGUCGAAGAUACCAGCUGGCUGCAACUGUUUAUUAAAAACACAGCACUGUGCAAACACGAAAGUGGACGUAUACGGUGUGACGCCUGCCCGGUGCCGGAAGGUUAAUUGAUGGGGUUAGCGGUAACGCGAAGCUCUUGAUCGAAGCCCCGGUAAACGGCGGCCGUAACUAUAACGGUCCUAAGGUAGCGAAAUUCCUUGUCGGGUAAGUUCCGACCUGCACGAAUGGCGUAAUGAUGGCCAGGCUGUCUCCACCCGAGACUCAGUGAAAUUGAACUCGCUGUGAAGAUGCAGUGUACCCGCGGCAAGACGGAAAGACCCCGUGAACCUUUACUAUAGCUUGACACUGAACAUUGAGCCUUGAUGUGUAGGAUAGGUGGGAGGCUUUGAAGUGUGGACGCCAGUCUGCAUGGAGCCGACCUUGAAAUACCACCCUUUAAUGUUUGAUGUUCUAACGUUGGCCCCUAAUCGGGGUUGCGGACAGUGUCUGGUGGGUAGUUUGACUGGGGCGGUCUCCUCCUAAAGAGUAACGGAGGAGCACGAAGGUUGGCUAAUCCUGGUCGGACAUCAGGAGGUUAGUGCAAUGGCAUAAGCCAGCUUGACUGCGAGCGUGACGGCGCGAGCAGGUGCGAAAGCAGGUCAUAGUGAUCCGGUGGUUCUGAAUGGAAGGGCCAUCGCUCAACGGAUAAAAGGUACUCCGGGGAUAACAGGCUGAUACCGCCCAAGAGUUCAUAUCGACGGCGGUGUUUGGCACCUCGAUGUCGGCUCAUCACAUCCUGGGGCUGAAGUAGGUCCCAAGGGUAUGGCUGUUCGCCAUUUAAAGUGGUACGCGAGCUGGGUUUAGAACGUCGUGAGACAGUUCGGUCCCUAUCUGCCGUGGGCGCUGGAGAACUGAGGGGGGCUGCUCCUAGUACGAGAGGACCGGAGUGGACGCAUCACUGGUGUUCGGGUUGUCAUGCCAAUGGCACUGCCCGGUAGCUAAAUGCGGAAGAGAUAAGUGCUGAAAGCAUCUAAGCACGAAACUUGCCCCGAGAUGAGUUCUCCCUGAGACUUAGAGUCUCCUGAAGGAACGUUGAAGACGACGACGUUGAUAGGCCGGGUGUGUAAGCGCAGCGAUGCGUUGAGCUAACCGGUACUAAUGAACCGUGAGGCUUAACCUUACAACGCCGAAG
rnacentral:rRNA from 1 species